AUAUAUAUAUAUUUCAUUUAUUUACAGUUUUCUUUUAUUUUAUGUAAUUUUAACUAUUUAAAAAUAUUUAUUGUAAUUAUAUUAUUUUAUGAAAUACUAAAAAUAAAAUACCCACGAGGCUUAUGCCCCGUGCCUUGGGGCUCACGCCUCACCAAGGCAUAUGUAAACACCCCGCCUUACGUCCCCGCCUUUUAAAACACUGCUUGAAAGCAUAAAUAUAUUUUUUUAUCACGAGAUUUCAUCAUAAAUUGACUAGUUUUACACUGGCUGUUGCCCUAAACUUAAAAAAUCUUUAGAAGCAGUUCAACUUAAAAAGAAUUCUUACAGACUAACAAGACAGAAAGAUCUUGGAAAACAAGUGGCAAGUGUUGAACGAUUCGACCUUUUCAUCAAUGUAGAUUGCUCAAAAUGUGGCAAUAGCGCUAUCGUUAUGAUCAGAAGUAAACAUGGAGGAGCUGUCUUUCCAGAACUCAUCUAUGUAUUGGAUGAUGACAAGUGACUCACAACUAGGCCUAUGGUCAUGAAUGAGAACUGGAAUCUUGUUAUGAAUAGGAUUAGAGUUUUGAAGGAGCUCACUUUUGUCAAUUUUUUUUUUUUUUAUGAGUUGAUGCCACGAAAUUUGAUUAACCAUGUACCUAGAAGCUUCAUAUCACUUGCUGUGAUGGCUUGACUACCAGAACUAGAACCUUUAUAUCGGAAAAGGAUGAAUUUGAUACAAGAGGUUCUAGAGUGGACUGUAUAGUAUUUAUUUAUAGCCUGAUUUAGUUGAUCUGCAAUUGAUUUACCUGUCAUGGUGAUAAUUUAAGUAUAAGCUACUUGCAAAUUGUAGAAGAUGAGCCAUUUUUACAUAUUUUAGAACUGCAACUAUUGUAGAAGUGUAAUCUUACCAUUUGUAUAGCCAUUUUCUUAAUAGACUUUAUAACUGAAACUGGGGCUGAAAAGGAUUAUGUCAUUAUGAUUUCAUCUUUAGAUUCAUAUCUUUCUAGCAAUCUUACCAUUUUUAUAAGAACUCCUUUAUCUGCAACUAUUGUAAGUGGUGGUUAAACAAAAACUAUAUUUCUACUAUGUCAUUGAAGUCUUAAAUCUUCCAAUAUUUUUUUUUUUACAAAAACCUCUAAAAACAUUUGACAUUGUUAAACCUCAGUCUACUUGCAGAAUAACAUUCAUUAACACAUUAAAUUAAAUCUUCAGUCAACCAUAGCUCAUCUUGGAAGUGCUAGAGUGCGGAGCUUAUUCCCACCAUUGAACUCGGGUCGUGGGACUGAACCUAAAUUAUAGUCAAAUAUCUAGAAAAAGUAUGCAUUUCCAUUCCUUGCCUCUAAUCUACUCAGAGCUGGCAAACCUAAAAAUAUAUCGUCGAAGCAGAGUUCCUCACUGAAGCUAUUAGAUAGUGGACAGACCAGAUUGUAUUUCCCUUUGUAGUGGAAGAGUUUAGUGUAAUUUUAGUUCUUAAGUCAUAAAAGCUAUAUGCAACAUAUAUGUAUAAUGUAGAUCAACAUCUUGGAAUUCAAAAAAAUAUUCAUUUGUUUAGUUCAUUAAUAGGAACAAACUUCUUUUAUUCUCA